GUGGGGAAUUUUGGACAAUGGGCGCAAGCCUGAUCCAGCCAUUCCGCGUGCAGGAUGAAGGCCUUCGGGUUGUAAACUGCUUUUGUACGGAACGAAAAGCCUCUGGUUAAUACCCGGGGGUCAUGACGGUACCGUAAGAAUAAGCACCGGCUAACUACGUGCCAGCAGCCGCGGUAAUACGUAGGGUGCGAGCGUUAAUCGGAAUUACUGGGCGUAAAGCGUGCGCAGGCGGUGAUGUAAGACAGUUGUGAAAUCCCCGGGCUCAACCUGGGAACUGCAUCUGUGACUGCAUUGCUGGAGUGCUGCAGAGGGGGAUGGAAUUCCGCGUGUAGCAGUGAAAUGCGUAGAUAUGCGGAGGAACACCGAUGGCGAAGGCAAUCCCCUGGGCCUGCACUGACGCUCAUGCACGAAAGCGUGGGGAGCAAACAGGAUUAGAUACCCUGGUAGUCC
rnacentral:rRNA from 1 species